rnacentral:lncRNA from 1 species
AGUCUGCUCAGUUCCGCGGGGUCCUGCGGAGAGGAGAGGUCUGCAGAGCAGAUAGUUGAAGCAGCGAAGUUGGAGUCCCUGAAGCAACGCAUCUCGCACUGCUGCCUCCCUCGAUGGCUUGGCCUCUUCCCCAUCCUUUUCAAUACCAAGGAUGGCCUUGAACUUCUAGUCCUCUUGCCUCUUACCCCCUAGGUGCUGGGAUACACACAUAUAUUUACAUACCUGGGGUUUAUCCGGUUCUGGGGACCGAACCCAGGGCUUCAGGCUCUUAACAAGUUACCCAGGUUGACCUAGACCUCUUGUUUCUCCUGUCUCAGCCUCCCAAGUACUGGAAUCCUAAGUGUGCAUCACUGUACCCCAGUAUGGUUUUGUGCCAGGUUGGGAACUUUAUGUACAUGUUGUUCUAUAACCUAAUUAGUCAAUCGUCACACUUUCUCAGUUCAGGACUUUUUAUUGGGUCUAACUCAGCUGGGCAUAGUCAGACGUGGUGGAGUGUUGGCCAGACUCACUGUAGCCUUGCAACCGAACUUGGAAUAAGCAAGUGCACGCUGUGGCUUAUUUACACUCACUAAAGUCUUUAUAAUAUGCCUUUGCGCAGGGCUGGGGAAUACCUGUGGGGCAUUUUCCUGAUUGGUGAUGUGGUAGGGCCCAUCUCACUGUGGGUGAUGCUAUCCCUGGGCUGGUGGUCAUAGGUGCCAUAAGAAGGCAGACUGAGCAAGCCAUGAGGAGCAAGCCAGUAAGCAGCACUCCUUCUUGACCUCCAUCCACGUUAAUCUCCUGCCUCCAAGUUCCUGCCUUGAGUUUCUGCCCUUAGUUUCCUUGGAUCGUAAGCUGUAAGAUGAAAUAAACCCUUUCUUCCCCC